GAUGAACGCUGGCGGCGUGCCUAAUACAUGCAAGUCGAGCGAACAGACGAGGAGCUUGCUCCUCUGACGUUAGCGGCGGACGGGUGAGUAACACGUGGAUAACCUACCUAUAAGACUGGGAUAACUUCGGGAAACCGGAGCUAAUACCGGAUAAUAUAUUGAACCGCAUGGUUCAAUAGUUAAAGACGGUUUUGCUGUCACUUAUAGAUGGAUCCGCGCCGCAUUAGCUAGUUGGUAAGGUAACGGCUUACCAAGGCAACGAUGCGUAGCCGACCUGAGAGGGUGAUCGGCCACACUGGAACUGAGACACGGUCCAGACUCCUACGGGAGGCAGCAGUAGGGAAUCUUCCGCAAUGGGCGAAAGCCUGACGGAGCAACGCCGCGUGAGUGAUGAAGGUCUUCGGAUCGUAAAACUCUGUUAUUAGGGAAGAAAAAAUGUGUAAGUAACUAUGCACGUCUUGACGGUACCUAAUCAGAAAGCAACGGCUAAUUACGUG
rnacentral:rRNA from 1 species